UACGUAGGGGGCAAGCGUUGUCCGGAUUUACUGGGCGUAAAGAGCGUGUAGGCGGCCACGCAGGUCCGUUGUGAAAACUGGAGGCUCAACCUCCAACUGUCGACGGAAACCGGAUGGCUAGAGUCCGGAAGAGGAGAGUGGAAUUCCUGGUGUAGCGGUGAAAUGCGCAGAUAUCAGGAAGAACACCAAUGGCGAAGGCAGCUCUCUGGGACGGUACUGACGCUGAGACGCGAAAGCGUGGGGAGCGAACAGG
rnacentral:rRNA from 1 species